AAUUUCACAUUCAAGCUCCUAAUAACAGAACAUUUAAUUCUAGUGUAGAAGAGAAAACAAUGUCUAAUUAUAUGAGAAGAAGAAGAAGAUGCGGUGAAAUUUUUUUAUAUUUUUUCAUGGCAGUGUAGAGAAGAGAAGAGAAGACAAAGUACAAGAACAAAGGUAAAAUACAAGGAAAAUGAAUAUUCUAGUAGAGAUUUGAGGGAAAAUUUAGUCAUUGAAUUUUUCUUUUUCAUUGUUGAAAGCUGCAGCAAAGAACCGUGGAAAAAAGAUUUGGGGGAAAUGUUUUAGUAGCGCUUUGAGGGGUAAAUUUGUCAUUUACUAAUUAAUACAUGUGUUGAAAUACUUGGUAUUACUAAUACAUAGGAAAUAACGAGUAUUAUAACACACACCUUAAUACACAAUAGUGUGUAUAACUAAUGCAAGUAUUAGUUAUGCAUAGUCUAAAAAAUAAUACCAAACAUGGUAUUAUUAAUACACAAAGAAUAAUGCAUGUAUUAUAUUUUUAGUACAAUCUACCAAACGACCCCUUAGUGUAAUUGCUUACUCCUUGUUAUUAACAUUCUUGAAAAAUGUUGCAAAGAGGAGUACCAUUAAGAGUACACCAUUAAGAAUAUAAAUGAUGCUUUGGUAUUGGCCAUUCAUCAAUAUUGGAACUAACAACAAGACACAAUUAAGAGGGGCAACAUGGUAAAGUUACAUUACCAAUCAUUGUUUUCUUAAUAGCUGUGUCAUCCCAAUUUGGGACGGGUAAAAUGGGACAGAGGGAGUAUAUAAGAUAAGUUACUCAUAGCAGAAGUAACAAAAGGGACUAAUACAGAAGCUCUUAUGACUGCCUCUCUACUUCAUCUGAGGUAGUGGUAUGGACUGUGUACACUUUACCCUCCCCAAACCCCACUUUGUGGAAAGACACUGGGUAUUGUUGUUGUUGUUCUUAUUGUAGAGAAGGUCUUAUGACUGGAGGUAUUUCAUGGAAGAGCCAAAACCAAUUUUAGUUUCAUAUUUUGAUAAUUGAUACCGUACUAUUUUUCACUCUUCUUGUCCACCUUUAAUUCUUUUGCGAUAAUGAAACUUUGAAAUACUUCUAUCUCGAGGAUAAAAGAACCUCAUGUACCUUCUUGAUCAACUCUAAAUCAAGUUCAUCCUCUUGAAGCAACAUAUCAGCACUUGGGUUACGAUAGAACAUAAAUUCACGUUCUCCAUCCUUUCGCAGUGUUACAAAUGCUAAAGCAGUACGAGCACCUGGAUCAAAGCGCAUACCAUCACUGUUGACAUUGUUCUCCUUCAAAAUAUCAGCAAGCAUGUAACCAAAUUCAUCUUCACCAACCUGCUCGUGAUUACAAGUUGUAAGUACAUAUCAUAAAUGCUUAAUAUAUUUGAAAAGAUCUAUAUUUUUCCAAUUUAUAUCAUCUUCAAAAAUUCUUUUUGACAGGUUAUUUUAUUUUCACAUAUUUUUUCUAUCAAUUUUCAGAACCAGCAAAGGAAUUAUAUGAACGAGCCAACUUUGUGCAGAAUAUGAUUCUUCAACAAACAAUCAAAUUUUCAAAAAUAUACAGGGCAGAAGGAAGAUGACCCUGCUGCAUAUUAAGAUGAAUUUCCAAAUUUGAAUGCAUUAGCUUGGAAUAGUGAGUCUCGGAGGACAGCAAAACUGUUUUUCUCUAAUGCUAUAGACUAAGGUACAUAUCAUAUCAGCAUUGUAAUUAGUAUGCCAAAGAAAAAGUAUUUGACAAGAGCAUAACAUAAGAUGACGGAUCACCAUGGUACAAGGGA
rnacentral:lncRNA from 1 species